AACGAACGCUGGCGGCAGGCUUAACACAUGCAAGUCGAACGCGUGUAGCAAUACACGAGUGGCGCACGGGUGAGUAACGCGUGGAUAUCUGCCUUCUGGUUCGGAAUAACACCGGGAAACUGGGGCUAAUACCGAAUGGGUCCUACGGGAUAAAGAUUUAUCGCCAGAAGAUGAGUCCGCGUCCGAUUAGCUAGUUGGUGAGGUAACGGCUCACCAAGGCGACGAUCGGUAGCUGGUCUGAGAGGACGAUCAGCCACACUGGGACUGAGACCCGUCCCGGACUCCUACGGAAGGCAGCAGUGGGGAAUAUUGGACAAUGGGGUCAACCCUGAUCCAGCCAUGCCGCGUGAGUGAUGAAGGCCUUCGGGUUGUAAAGCUCUUUUGGCGGGGACGAUGAUGACGGUACCCGCAGAAUAAGCCCCGGCUAACUUCGUGCCAGCCGCCGCUGUAACAC
rnacentral:rRNA from 1 species